AUUCUGCCCAUGCGGGGAAGGAUGAGAAGCUUCGACCAAGGUUCGACUCGAGCGCCAGCGAGAGAGCGUUGCCGCAGGCAACGACCCGAAGGGCGAAGCGCGCAGC
rnacentral:sRNA from 1 species